CCUACGGGUGGCAGCAGUAGGGAAUAUUGCUCAAUGGGGGAAACCCUGAAGCAGCAACGUCGCGUGGAGGAUGACGGCCUUCGGAUUGUAAACUCCUUUUGUUAGAGAAGAUAAUGACGGUAUCUAACGAAUAAGCAACGUCUAACUCCGUGCCAGCAGCCGCGGUAAUACGGAGGGUGCGAGCGUUACUCGGAAUCACUGGGCGUAAAGGGCGCGUAGGCGGGUUAGCGAGUCAGAUGUGAAAUCCUAUGGCUUAACCAUAAAACUGCAUUUGAAACUGUUAUUCUAGAGUAUGGGAGAGGUAGGUGGAAUUCUUGGUGUAGGGGUAAAAUCCGUAGAGAUCAAGAGGAAUACUCAUUGCGAAGGCGACCUGCUAGAACAUAACUGACGCUGAUGCGCGAAAGCGUGGGGAGCAAACAGGAUUAGAUACCCGUGUAGUC
rnacentral:rRNA from 1 species